rnacentral:ncRNA from 1 species
GGUGGAGCGGUGAAAUGCGUUGAGAUCGGAAAGAACACCAACGGCGAAAGCACUCUGCUGGGCCGACACUAACACUGAGAGACGAAAGCUAGGGGAGCAAAUGGGAUUAGAUACCCCAGUAGUCCUAGCCAUAAAUGAUGGAUACUAAGUGUUGUGCAUAUCGACCCACGCAGUGCUAUAGCUAAUGCAUUAAGUGUCCCGCCUGGGGAGUACGUUCGCAAGAAUGAAACUCAAUGGAAUUGACGGGGGCCCACACAAGCGGUGGAGCAUGUGGUUCAAUUCAAUGCAAAGCGAAGAACCUUACCAGGGCUUGACAUGUCGUGAAUCCUCCCGAAAGAGAGGAGUGCCUUCGGGAAAAUGGACACAGGUGGUGCAUGGUUGUCGUCAGCUCGUGUCGUAAGGUGUUGGGUUAAGUCUCGCAACGAGCGCAACCCUCAUGUUUAGUUGCCAGCAUUGAGUUUGGAACCCUGAACAGACUGUCGGUGAUAAGCUGGAGGAAGGUGAGGAUGAUGUCAAGUCAUCAUGCCCCUUACGCCCUGGG